rnacentral:rRNA from 1 species
AUGGGAGCCGUGCAUGGUGUGUGCUACGGAAUGGUCGGCGACAACCUGCCCCCGCGGAGCGACGUCGUGCAACUGUACAAGUCCCGGAAUAUCCACGCCAUGCGCAUCUACAACCCGGACCAGGAGGCUCUUGCAGCCCUCCGCGGAAGUGGCAUCUUCCUCAUCCUCGAUGUCGGUGGGCUCGACGAGGUCCAACGCCUCGCCCGCGACCCGUCACAUGCCGCCAGCUGGGUCCGGAGCAACGUCCAGGCCUACUACCCGGACGUCCUCAUCCGGUACAUCGCCGUUGGCAACGAGGUCCCCGCCGGCGACACGGGCGUCAUCCUCCCCGCCAUGCAGAACGUGCACAAUGCCCUGGCGUCCGCCAACCUCUCCAGCAGCAUCAAGGUGUCAACGGCGGUGAGGUUCGACGUGAUCACCAACUCCUUCCCGCCCUCCAGCGGCGUGUUCAGGGACCCUUCUGGCUUGGUGCCCAUCGCGCGGUUCCUGGACCGCACCGGCGCCCCAUUCCUUGCCAACGUCUACCCCUACUUCGCUUACAAGGACGACCGUGGCCAGAACAUCAGGCUCAACUAUGCGACGUUCCAGCCGGGCACCACGGUGAGGGACAACGGCAACGGGCUGACCUACACCAGCCUCUUCGACGCGAUGGUCGACUCCAUCUACGCCGCGCUGGAGAAGGCCGGCACGCCCAACGUCAGAGUGGUGGUGUCGGAGAGCGGGUGGCCGUCGGCGGGCGGGUUCGGGGCAUCGGUGGACAAUGCGCGGAACUACAACCAGGGCCUCAUCGACCACAUCCGUAACGGCACGCCGAAACGGCCAGGGGCGAUCGAGACGUACAUAUUCGCCAUGUUUAACGAGAACAAGAAGCCAGGGGAUGAGGUCGAGAGGAACUUCGGGCUCUUCUUCCCCAACAAGCAGCCUGUCUACCCGACCACCUUCCCCAAUUAA